rnacentral:sRNA from 1 species
CGGGUACCAGCGUUCCUGAGCGCGGCCGAGGUGGAGGAACACCUCUGCAGCUCCAGCCUCCUCAUCCCGCCUCUAGAGACGGCCCUGGCCAACUUCUCCAGCGGUCCCGAAGGAGGGGUCAUGCAGCCCGUGCGCACCGUGGUGCCGGUGACCAAGCACAGGGGUGCUGCAGAGGAUGCGCUGACCACCAAGUUGGUCACCUUCUACGAGGACCGCGGCAUCACCUCGGUCGUCCCUUCCCACCAGGCUACUGUGCUACUCUUUGAGCCCAGCAAUGGCACCCUGCUGGCGGUCAUGGAUGGAAAUGUCAUAACUGCAAAGAGAACAGCUGCAGUUUCUGCCAUUGCCACCAAGUUUCUGAAACCUCCCAGCAGUGAAGUGCUGUGCAUCCUUGGGGCUGGGGUCCAGGCCUACAGCCAUUAUGAGAUCUUCACAGAGCAGUUCUCCUUUAAGGAGGUGAGGAUAUGGAACCGCACCAAAGAAAAUGCAGAGAAGUUUGCAGACACAGUGCAAGGAGAGGUACGGGUCUGUUCUUCGGUCCAGGAGGCUGUGGCAGGUGCAGAUGUGAUCAUCACAGUCACCCUGGCAACAGAGCCCAUUUUGUUUGGUGAAUGGGUGAAGCCAGGGGCUCACAUCAAUGCUGUUGGAGCCAGCAGACCUGACUGGAGAGAACUGGAUGAUGAGCUCAUGAAAGAAGCUGUGCUGUACGUGGAUUCCCAGGAGGCUGCCCUGAAGGAGUCUGGAGAUGUCCUGCUGUCAGGGGUGAGGCCCUUCUGACCCCAGUCAGGGCUGCCACCUGGCUGGCCUCACCUGGAUCCCAGGGUUUCAUUAACUUCCCUUCCAGUUUGGUCUGCUCCAGACCUCAGCCACCCCACCUCCUUGUAGGGGAAGGAGCUCCUAAACAUUUUGCAACCCUCUUUAAUCCAUUCCAGAAAAAUAUGGGCAUUAUGGGUGGUGACGUGUGUGUUCCUGGAAGGAGAAGCUCAGUGGAUUUUAUUUUUUUGCUGGGCUGUCCUCUAAAGAAGUGGGUUUGGAAGCUUCUUGCAGCCUGGAAACCUUCCCAAUGUGGCCAACAUGAUAAGACUGUGUUGCCCACCUUCUGGCCUCAUUUUACGGUUAUAAUCGGCAUAAAACAAGAAGGGAGCUGCUGGCAUGCAUGUUCAGAUAACAGCAUGUCUAUUUCCUCACUGACACAAUGAUCUUGGCAGGACAGCUCCCUGAGCACCAACUCGAAUCUCUGUGUUUAUGGUAUCACAAAAGCAAAUGCCACCCCAAAAGGAUUUCGGGGCCAGCCUCCUCCCUAAUAUCAUUCAGUGUACAAAGGAUCUCUCUCUUUUUUUUUUUUUAAUCAAAUUUAUCUCUUAUCCAAUUCAGGAAUUCCCUGGGCUGGCUUCAAAAGCCAACCCUGCACAGACUUUGGCUUCAUGCCUGGGUCAGCGUAUGUUUGUUUCCUAGGCCGAGAUCUUUGCUGAGCUGGGAGAAGUGAUUAAGGGAGUGAAGCC